GUUCGCCAGAAGAUCCACUUGUGUCUCAUUCAUCCAUUACUUCCAUUCUAUGGCACACUCAUUCUCUCUGGGGAGGCCGGUUCAUCUACAUUACCGGUUCCUCCUCUGCUUGAGGUCUUUUUCGUUUUGGAGGGGGUCGUCCCCUCCACAAGGUCCAGUCCUUCAUCAAGUUUGUCUUCGGAGGUUCCUCAUGUCGACGUAACAGCCCUUGAUGCGUUGUUCGUCCUUGCCGGCUUCGUCGUUCCUCCUGGUCUUCCAGCCGCUUGCUGGCACGUGACCGUGGCGCCAAGUCCUCUGUCCGGCAUC